GUUCAGCCUUCCUGUAUCCAUCAGACCAUCGAGAUGGACGUUCUGUGGGACCCCCAAGAAGCAACCCUCCCUGGACUAGACAGAGUCUGUGCAGACACAGCGGGUUCUCAGCGUGGAGCCUCGCCGCCUUCGUGGUUUGUUGUUCUGCCAGAUGCCACCAGGCUUGACGUAAGUGAAAGUGCGCUUGCUGUCGGCCAUGGUCCAAGGAAGCGGAGAUGAGGACCAGCACUGCACCUGCGAGCGUGGGUGCUGGUGAGCUUGGCAUAAUGAUCCUGGAUUUGUACGGACCUAGUUACGUGACUCGAAAUAUACAGAAAGCUAAAAUUGACAGCAAUGCAGGAUUAAUUGAAAAACUCAUGUCACAGUGAAGGAUUUUAAUAUACCUCUCAGUAACCCUUAAAUCAAGGAGACAGAAAAAUCAAUGAACACAUAGAAGAUCUGAAGAACACAAUUAAACAAGUUCAUGUAAAUAUGAACUCAAUGCCCAUGAAUUAGAGAAUGUGUAUUUUUUAACACAAAUAAAGUAG
rnacentral:lncRNA from 1 species